CUUUUACAAUGAAGAGUUUGAUCCUGGCUCAGGAUGAACGCUAGCUACAGGCUUAACACAUGCAAGUCGAGGGGCAGCAUUUCAGUUUGCUUGCAAACUGGAGAUGGCGACCGGCGCACGGGUGAGUAACACGUAUCCAACCUGCCGAUAACUCGGGGAUAGCCUUUCGAAAGAAAGAUUAAUACCCGAUGGCAUAAUUAGACCGCAUGGUCUUAUUAUUAAAGAAUUUCGGUUAUCGAUGGGGAUGCGUUCCAUUAGGCAGUUGGUGAGGUAACGGCUCACCAAACCUUCGAUGGAUAGGGGUUCUGAGAGGAAGGUCCCCCACAUUGGAACUGAGACACGGUCCAAACUCCUACGGGAGGCAGCAGUGAGGAAUAUUGGUCAAUGGGCGCAGGCCUGAACCAGCCAAGUAGCGUGAAGGAUGACUGCCCUAUGGGUUGUAAACUUCUUUUAUAUGGGAAUAAAGUUUUCCACGUGUGGAAUUUUGUAUGUACCGUAUGAAUAAGGAUCGGCUAACUCCGUGCCAGCAGCCGCGGUAAUACGGAGGAUCCGAGCGUUAUCCGGAUUUAUUGGGUUUAAAGGGAGCGUAGGUGGACAGUUAAGUCAGUUGUGAAAGUUUGCGGCUCAACCGUAAAAUUGCAGUUGAUACUGGCUGUCUUGAGUACAGUAGAGGUGGGCGGAAUUCGUGGUGUAGCGGUGAAAUGCUUAGAUAUCACGAAGAACUCCGAUUGCGAAGGCAGCUCACUGGACUGCAACUGACACUGAUGCUCGAAAGUGUGGGUAUCAAACAGGAUUAGAUACCCUGGUAGUCCACACAGUAAACGAUGAAUACUCGCUGUUUGCGAUAUACAGUAAGCGGCCAAGCGAAAGCAUUAAGUAUUCCACCUGGGGAGUACGCCGGCAACGGUGAAACUCAAAGGAAUUGACGGGGGCCCGCACAAGCGGAGGAACAUGUGGUUUAAUUCGAUGAUACGCGAGGAACCUUACCCGGGCUUAAAUUGCAUUUGAAUAAUCUGGAAACAGGUUAGCCGCAAGGCAAAUGUGAAGGUGCUGCAUGGUUGUCGUCAGCUCGUGCCGUGAGGUGUCGGCUUAAGUGCCAUAACGAGCGCAACCCUUAUCUUUAGUUACUAACAGGUCAUGCUGAGGACUCUAGAGAGACUGCCGUCGUAAGAUGUGAGGAAGGUGGGGAUGACGUCAAAUCAGCACGGCCCUUACGUCCGGGGCUACACACGUGUUACAAUGGGGGGUACAGAAGGCAGCUACCUGGUGACAGGAUGCUAAUCCCAAAAGCCUCUCUCAGUUCGGAUCGAAGUCUGCAACCCGACUUCGUGAAGCUGGAUUCGCUAGUAAUCGCGCAUCAGCCAUGGCGCGGUGAAUACGUUCCCGGGCCUUGUACACACCGCCCGUCAAGCCAUGAAAGCCGGGGGUACCUGAAGUACGUAACCGCAAGGAGCGUCCUAGGGUAAAACUGGUAAUUGGGGCUAAGUCGUAACAAGGUAGCCGUACCGGAAGGUGCGGCUGGAACACCUCCUUU
rnacentral:rRNA from 1 species